AAUUUUGGACAAUGGGGGAAACCCUGAUCCAGCCAUCCAGCGUGUAAGAUGAAGGCAUUCGGGGUGUAAAGUACUUUUGGCCGUGAAGAAAAGGUAUCCCCUAAUACGGGAUAUGGCUGACGGUAUCUGCAGAAAAAGCACCGGCUAACUACGGAACAGUAGCCGCGGUAAUACGUAGGGUGUAAGCGUAAAUCUGAAUUCCUGGGCGUAAAGCGUGUGUAGGCGGUUCGGAAAGAAAAAUGUGAAAUCCCAGGUCUCAACCGUGGAACUGCAUUUUUAACUGCCGAGCUAGAGUAUGUCAGAGGGGGGUAGAAUUCCACGUGUAGCAGUGAAAUGCGUAGAUAUGUGGAGGAAUACCGAUGGCGAAGGCAGCCCCCUGGGAUAAUACUGACGCUCAGACACGAAAGCGUGGGGAGCAAACAGG
rnacentral:rRNA from 1 species